UAGACCAGAAGAGGAGCGUUCACCAGGUAGUUCAGCGCAGGUUGCUAUAAACCGGAUACUGAAUGAGGGGGAUGAACGCCGAGGAUGUUACGUCGUAGCAGCGUAACGUCCGGUCAAAAGGGCUGAAUCCCUGCGACUGUCACCUGAAACCCGGUGGAGAGCUUCUGGCCUU
rnacentral:ncRNA from 1 species